GACGAACGCUGGCGGCGCGCUUAAUACAUGCAAGUCGAGCGAGAACCAGGGCUUCGGCUCUGGGGACAGCGGCGAACGGGUGAGUAACACGUGGGUAAUCAACCCCCGACACCGGGAUAGCCCAGGGAAACUUGGAUUAAUACCGGAUGCCCCGUCUGGCCUUCGGGCCGGCCGGAAAAGGGUAGCUUCGGCCUCUGGUCGGGGACGAGCCCGCGGCGGAUUAGCUUGUUGGUGAGGUAAAGGCUCACCAAGGCGGCGAUCCAUAGCUGGUCGGAGAGGACGAUCAGCCACACUGGGACUGAGACACGGCCCAGACUCCUACGGGAGGCAGCAGUAGGGAAUCUUGCGCAAUGGGCGAAAGCCUGACGCAGCGACGCCGCGUGAGGGAAGAAGGCCUUCGGGUUGUAAACCUCUUUCAGGAGGGACGAAGCCACUCGGGUUAAUAGCCUAGAGGGUGACGGUACCUCCAGAAGAAGCCCCGGCUAACUACGUGCCAGCAGCCGCCGUAA
rnacentral:rRNA from 1 species